rnacentral:rRNA from 1 species
AACGAACGCUGGCGGCAUGCCUAACACAUGCAAGUCGAACGAACCCUUCGGGGUGAGUGGCGCACGGGUGCGUAACGCGUGGGAACCUGCCUUUUGGUUCGGAAUAACAGUUAGAAAUGACUGCUAAUACCGGAUAAUGUCUUCGGACCAAAGAUUUAUCGCCAUUAGAUGGGCCCGCGUAGGAUUAGCUAGUUGGUGAU